ACAGCAUGGAACAGGGCUCCACAAGGACAUGAAUACCAGGUGGCAGGGAUCACUGGGCCAUCUCUCUAAAUCAGGAAUGAAACAUUUGCAACCUGUGUCUCCCAAACAUGAUAUGUUUCAAUCAUCAAAGGAUCUACAGUGACUACGAUAACCAAGUGCUACAAAAACGCUGUGACAGGGAAUCUGAACAAUAGAGAUUUGAGGGAAACAAAGCACUUUCGACAAAGGUCCUGCUGCUUGUCUUCAGCUCGGUACCAAUUAGAG
rnacentral:lncRNA from 1 species